UGAACGCUGGCGGCAUGCCUUACACAUGCAAGUCGAACGGCAGCGCGGGAGCAAUCCUGGCGGCGAGUGGCGAACGGGUGAGUAAUACAUCGGAACGUGCCCAGUAAUGGGGGAUAGCUCGGCGAAAGCCGGAUUAAUACCGCAUACGCCCUGAGGGGGAAAGUGGGGGACCGCAAGGCCUCACGUUAUUGGAGCGGCCGAUGGCUGAUUAGCUAGUUGGUAGGGUAAAGGCCUACCAAGGCGACGAUCAGUAGCUGGUCUGAGAGGACGAUCAGCCACACUGGGACUGAGACAUGGCCCAGACUCCUACGGGAGGCAGCAGUGGGGAAUUUUGGACAAUGGGGGAAACCCUGAUCCAGCAAUGCCGCGUGUGCGAAGAAGGCCUUCGGGUUGUAAAGCACUUUUGUCAGGGAAGAAAUCCUUUGGGCUAAUACCCUAGGGGGAUGACGGUACCUGAAGAAUAAGCACCGGCUAACUACGUGCCAGCAGCCGCGGUAAUACGUAGGGUGCAAGCGUUAAUCGGAAUUACUGGGCGUAAAGCGUGCGCAGGCGGUUGUGUAAGACAGGUGUGAAAUCCCCGGGCUUAACCUGGGAAUUGCAUUUGUGACUGCACGACUAGAGUGUGUCAGAGGGGGGUGGAAUUCCACGUGUAGCAGUGAAAUGCGUAGAUAUGUGGAGGAACACCAAUGGCGAAGGCAGCCCCCUGGGAUAACACUGACGCUCAUGCACGAAAGCGUGGGGAGCAAACAGGAUUAGAUACCCUGGUAGUCCACGCCCUAAACGAUGUCAACUAGUUGUUGGGGAUUUACUUCCUUGGUAACGUAGCUAACGCGUGAAGUUGACCGCCUGGGGAGUACGGCCGCAAGGUUAAAACUCAAAGGAAUUGACGGGGACCCGCACAAGCGGUGGAUGAUGUGGAUUAAUUCGAUGCAACGCGAAAAACCUUACCUACCCUUGACAUGGCAGGAACUUUCCAGAGAUGGAUUGGUGCUCGAAAGAGAACCUGCACACAGGUGCUGCAUGGCUGUCGUCAGCUCGUGUCGUGAGAUGUUGGGUUAAGUCCCGCAACGAGCGCAACCCUUGUCAUUAGUUGCUACAUUCAGUUGGGCACUCUAAUGAGACUGCCGGUGACAAACCGGAGGAAGGUGGGGAUGACGUCAAGUCCUCAUGGCCCUUAUAGGUGGGGCUACACACGUCAUACAAUGGCUGGUACAAAGGGUUGCCAACCCGCGAGGGGGAGCUAAUCCCAUAAAACCAGUCGUAGUCCGGAUCGCAGUCUGCAACUCGACUGCGUGAAGUCGGAAUCGCUAGUAAUCGUGGAUCAGAAUGUCACGGUGAAUACGUUCCCGGGUCUUGUACACACCGCCCGUCACACCAUGGGAGCGGGUUCUGCCAGAAGUAGUUAGCUUAACCGCAAGGAGGGCGAUUACCACGGCAGGGUUCGUG
rnacentral:rRNA from 1 species